CCUACGGGUGGCUGCAGUGGGGAAUAUUGGACAAUGGGGGGAACCCUGAUCCAGCCAUGCCGCGUGUGUGAAGAAGGCCCUCGGGUUGUAAAGCACUUUCAGUGAGGAAGAACGCCUGGUGGUUAAUACCCAUCAGGAAAGACAUCACUCACAGAAGAAGCACCGGCUAACUCCGUGCCAGCAGCCGCGGUAAUACGGAGGGUGCGAGCGUUAAUCGGAAUUACUGGGCGUAAAGCGCGCGUAGGUGGCUGGAUAAGCCGGUUGUGAAAGCCCCGGGCUCAACCUGGGAACGGCAUCCGGAACUGUCAAGCUAGAGUGCAGGAGAGGAAGGUAGAAUUCCCGGUGUAGCGGUGAAAUGCGUAGAGAUCGGGAGGAAUACCAGUGGCGAAGGCGGCCUUCUGGACUGACACUGACACUGAGGUGCGAAAGCGUGGGUAGCAAACAGGAUUAGAUACCCCAGUAGUC
rnacentral:rRNA from 1 species